UGCAAGUCGAGCGGAUGAGGGUAGCUUGCUAUCUGAUUCAGCGGCGGACGGGUGAGUAAUGCCUAGGAAUCUGCCUGGUAGUGGGGGACAACGUUUCGAAAGGAACGCUAAUACCGCAUACGUCCUACGGGAGAAAGUGGGGGAUCUUCGGACCUCACGCUAUCAGAUGAGCCUAGGUCGGAUUAGCUAGUAGGUGGGGUAAUGGCUCACCUAGGCGACGAUCCGUAACUGGUCUGAGAGGAUGAUCAGUCACACUGGAACUGAGACACGGUCCAGACUCCUACGGGAGGCAGCAGUGGGGAAUAUUGGACAAUGGGCGAAAGCCUGAUCCAGCCAUGCCGCGUGUGUGAAGAAGGUCUUCGGAUUGUAAAGCACUUUAAGUUGGGAGGAAGGGUUGUAGCCUAAUACGUUGCAAUUUUGACGUUACCGACAGAAUAAGCACCGGCUAACUUCGUGCCAGCAGCCGCGGUAAUACGAAGGGUGCAAGCGUUAAUCGGAAUUACUGGGCGUAAAGCGCGCGUAGGUGGUUCAUUAAGUUGGAUGUGAAAGCCCUGGGCUCAACCUGGGAACUGCAUCCAAAACUGGUGAGCUAGAGUACGGUAGAGGGUAGUGGAAUUUCCUGUGUAGCGGUGAAAUGCGUAGAUAUAGGAAGGAACACCAGUGGCGAAGGCGACUACCUGGACUGAUACUGACACUGAGGUGCGAAAGCGUGGGGAGCAAACAGGAUUAGAUACCCUGGUAGUCCACGCCGUAAACGAUGUCGACUAGCCGUUGGAAUCCUUG
rnacentral:rRNA from 1 species